GUGUCAGCAGCCGCGGUAAGACGAACCGUGCAAACGUUGUUCGGAAUCACUGGGCUUAAAGGGCGCGUAGGCGGGGGACCAAGUCCGGGGUGAAAUCUUUCGGCUCAACCGGAAAACUGCCUUGGAUACUGGUCUUCUUGAGGGAGGUAGGGGCAGGUGGAACUUCCGGUGGAGCGGUGAAAUGCGUUGAUAUCGGAAGGAACGCCGGUGGCGAAAGCGACCUGCUGGAUCUCUUCUGACGCUGAGGCGCGAAAGCUAGGGGAGCGAACGGGAUUAGAUACCCCCGUAGUCC
rnacentral:rRNA from 1 species